UAGCUUGCUAAUUAAGAUCUUAGUGGCGGACGGGUUAGUAACACGUGAGAACCUACCCUUUAGACAGGAAUAGCCCAUGGAAACGUGGAUUAAUGCCUGAUAGUCUCUAUGGAGUAAAUGGUGCCUUCGGGUAUCGCUAAAGGAUGGGCUCGCGGCCUAUCAGCUUGUUGGUGAGGUAAAGGCUCACCAAGGCGACGACGGGUAGCUGGUCUGAGAGGACGAUCAGCAACACUGGAACUGAGACACGGUCCAGACACCUACGGGUGGCAGCAGUCGAGAAUCAUUCACAAUGGAGGCAACUCUGAUGGUGCAACGCCGCGUGGAGGAUGACGGUCCUAGGAUUGUAAACUCCUGUCAUUGGGGAGUAAGACUUAAGCGUUAAGAGCGUUUAAGUUUGAUAGUACCCAAAGAGGAAGGGACGGCUAACUUCGUGCCAGCAGCCGCGGUAAUACGAAGGUCCCAAGCGUUGUUCGGAAUCACUGGGCGUAAAGCGUGUGUAGGCUGCGCGGAAAGUCAAAUGUGAAAGCCCGGGGCUCAACCUCGGAACUGCAUUCGAUACUCCCGUGCUAGAGUAAUGGAGAGGUAAGUGGAAUUCCUGGUGUAGCAGUGAAAUGCGUGGAUAUCAGGAGGAACAUCAAUGGCGAAGGCAACUUACUGGACAUUUACUGACGCUCAGACACGAAGGCUAGGGUAGCGAAAGGGAUUAGAUACCCCUGUAGUCCUAGCAGUAAACGGUGCUCGC
rnacentral:rRNA from 1 species